rnacentral:rRNA from 1 species
AAGUUUCGUUAAUUGAUUAUGACGUGCUUGCACUGAAUGAGAUUUUAACACGAAGUGAGUGGCGGACGGGUGAGUAACACGUGGGUAACCUGCCCAGAAGCAGGGGAUAACACCUGGAAACAGAUGCUAAUACCGUAUAACAGAGAAAACCGCCUGGUUUUCUUUUAAAAGAUGGCUCUGCUAUCACUUCUGGAUGGACCCGCGGCGCAUUAGCUAGUUGGUGAGGUAACGGCUCACCAAGGCGAUGAUGCGUAGCCGACCUGAGAGGGUAAUCGGCCACAUUGGGACUGAGACACGGCCCAGACUCCUACGGGAGGCAGCAGUAGGGAAUCUUCCACAAUGGACGCAAGUCUGAUGGAGCAACGCCGCGUGAGUGAAGAAGGGUUUCGGCUCGUAAAGGUCUGUUGUUAAAGAAGAACGUGGGUGAGAGUAACUGUUCACCCAGUGACGGUAUUUAACCAGAAAGCCACGGCUAACUACGUGCCAGCAGCCGCGGUAAUACGUAGGUGGCAAGCGUUAUCCGGAUUUAUUGGGCGUAAAGCGAGCGCAGGCGGUCUUUUAAGUCUAAUGUGAAAGCCUUCGGCUCAACCGAAGAAGUGCAUUGGAAACUGGGAGACUUGAGUGCAGAAGAGGACAGUGGAACUCCAUGUGUAGCGGUGAAAUGCGUAGAUAUAUGGAAGAACACCAGUGGCGAAGGCGGCUGUCUGGUCUGUAACUGACGCUGAGGGUCGAAAGCAUGGGUAGCGAACAGGAUUAGAUUC